ACUUCAUCAAAAUUAAAUAUACAUUGAAACAUGAAUGAAGGAUAUGUACUUGACAAAUUGACCAAACUUUAGCACCGAGACCCCUCGUGUUGAAAACUUGUCUCCUGUUUGACAUAAUUCGAAAACAAGAAAAUUUAAUUGUUAAUUUCACGCUACCCAUAGGGCUGCAAGUUUACUGAUCAUUACUUAUUUUUUAAUCUAAUAUUGGAAAGUUGUAUGACAACCAAAAAGAUAAAAGCUAAAAUUACAUUAUCUCAUUUUCUGAAAAAUUAGAUACACGCAGUGUUAAAUUAGAACGAGUAAAAAAUAAUCUGAUUUUCUUUAAAUAAAAAGAUUUAAGAUACGUACGUCUAACGUGAACUUGUGAUUUGGGGUCACAGUCAUGUGGUGGUGGAUGGAGACAAUAAGGGGUUUUCAUGUUUGAAACACAAACUCUAGCUUAUGUUUAUAUGAUAGUAUCUUCUCACCUACCUAUCAUCAUCAUCAUCUCUAUUUGCCGUUUCGUGUGCGAUUUCGUGAAUUAUGUCACCUCUUUCGGCUAGCUUUCUCAAUCAUACAUAUUUCUCAUUUAUGCCGCCGAUAAAUAAUGACGUUUUAAACAGUUCAGCUAAG
rnacentral:lncRNA from 1 species